rnacentral:lncRNA from 1 species
GCCACCAACAGCUGUUCUCUUGCAUGGAAUUCUUGGUAGCAGAAAGAACUGGGGUAAGCACCAAAUAUAAAAUUGGUUAAUACCUUUUUAUAUGCAUGUAUAUGCAAGUCAUGGUUUUUUGCUUCCCUUUUUCUAUCAUAGCUUGCAUUUUUGCACCUUCUUUAGGGAAUUUAAUCGAUCUUUUCCUUUGUGAUUAUAUAUCUCAUUUGUUCCACAUGAGAGGCUGAGUUAUCCUAAAAUCUUGUUUCCAACUCUUUCAUGAAGUUACAUAAUAUUUUUUAAUUUAGUUAACAUAUUGAGCUUUUUGAUGUGUCCAUUUUCCGCUCUGUUUGUGUAUUGAUGCUCUGCUGUUUGUAUUCUUGGACAUAUCUCAUUAUAUUUUAAGAUAAAAAAAUUAUUGUUUGGAAUUUGCAUGCAAAAGUAAGAGGAUUGUAAAGUACAUUUGUUUUAAAUGUUGCAGGGUCUUUUGUUCGGCGGCUGGCACUAGAAUUUCCAACAUGGCAGGUAAUGAAACUUUCUAGUUUUUGUUUCAGUCUCCUGGUAACUUUGUGUAGUGAUACCAUUCGAUUAAUUUGUUGGUUUUCUUUUCUUUUUUCUUUUUAUCAUUACUAAGUCCCAUGUCUGAUGUCUCCCAUUUCAAAGGGAAGACUUUUAUUGGAAGUUUUACAAAAAUUUGAUGCCUUAUAGCAAUAUUGAUAAUCAUUUUGAGUUUACUUGAGCUUAUGAUGGUAUUAUGACAUCUCUAUGAUGGAUAUUUUUAAUCAGCUUAAAGUGGAUUAUGUGGUAGCCUGGCUCUUGAAAAUUUUGAUGUUAACACGCAUUAAUAUCCACAUGUUGUGGCCAGCUAUUUUUGGAUGAUGAAUAUAUAUCGGAAAUUAAGGAAGCAAUGCACUUCAUUGAUUGAGAUACUUAAAUUGUUAAAAAGUUAAGGUUGUUUGAAUCUUUUACUGAAUGAAACUUGAAUAAAAUAGAGUUAGGCUCAUUUGAAUCUUUAAUUGAAUGAAACAUGCACAAAAUAGAAAGAAAUACUUGCUACAAAGGAGAAGGACAAUCAGAAAAAAGAAAAAAAAAAGUCUGAGGAUCGAGGUAAAAACUAGAAAUUAAAAAGUGAUAGGAAAAAAACUAUUAGAUCAAAAUUCAGUGCGACACUGUUAGAAAGAAAAUAAAUAAGAAAAUCCUGAAAUUUUAACAUGCUAGGUCCGAAAAGGAUUAAAAUAAAAGAUUGAGAGUUAAACUAUGAGGAUAUUAUCAAUAAACUUCCAUCAUUAGUUAAAUACAACCAAUGGCAUAGCAGUAGCUGUUAGUACAUUUCAAUAAAAUGGUUUGAUAGCUUUUUAAUUAUAAUAUUACUUUCACUUAAGUCAUUUCUCAAAUGUGUAAAACUUGUGGUUAGAAACCAUUAUUGGAAAAAAUAAAUUCUCAUAUAUUAGUAUUUAUUAUAUUUAAAAAGAAAAAGGCUGUAAAAAAUAUCAAAUAAAAAGUGGGAAUGAAUUCAAUAAAAAGAUAAUAAGGAAUUAAGAAAAUAUGAGACAAGAAAAUAUGAUAUUGUCAAAAGGAAAACUAGAAUGGGCGGAAAGUUAAAUGUUAGUCAACAAAAGGACCAAACAAAGUAAAGAGUUUGUGUGGUACAUGAAGGGUGAAUUUAAAGAAAAGAUGGUAUAUGGUGUUCCAAGAACAAUGCUGUAAUCCAUAAAUAUUGAUAGUUUUUGUUUAUGAGGGAAGGGGCAUAUUUAUGUAUUAGUAAUUGUUUGACUUGGUUUAGAUUUGUACAUUGGCUGGACUUGGAAAAUGCAAGUUACUAGGAAUUAACUUCUAAAGCUGAGUUAAAAUUGUUGGUGAGAUGCCAUAUCAUAAUGAUGUGCUAGGCGUUUAUGAUAUAAGCAAUGUAUAUUGGGGCUUCAAUGGAACAUAGGAUAGAACAGGUUCAUUGUCUUUCAGGAGUGUUAUAAGCUUUGUUGAACUAUUGCCAAUUACAACAGCCAAGUCAAUAAAUUAAAGAUCUUGAAAAUUCAUGUCAGUAAAAUGCAAAGCAUACUUAGGAAAGUAACCCACUAAUAUGCCAUGCAACCACUGUACCCAAUGAUGGAACAGAAUGCCUUAUUUGUGUUAUGCCUUUGAAUUAAAAUAAAAUGACAGAAAAUGGUACACCAGCAUCCAAUUAAAGCAAAUGAAAGGUGACUGAAAGCUGGUUCUUGGGUGCAAUAUUCAAUUUGAAUACCUGUGGAGUUAUUGCUGUCUAAGGAUCUUAACUGAUUAGGUUUGGUUUAGUUGUAUCCUUCAGUGUCUCACGUUUUCUUUAAUUUACUAGGCCAAGGUGUUUGUUUGAAUCUUACCGUGGUAUCAUUGGUCUUAGUUUGGUGUAGGAGAACUAUUGGAUCCUUAUAUGUGGUCCAACCAUGGGGUUGGUGUCAGUUUUCUUGCAGUGCAGGUGAAGUUGCCCUUUUAUAUUGCCAUGUGGCAAACUUAGAAAGAGAAUCCUUUUUCUUUUUUAAAUCUGGAACGCUUGUAGGGGUGAGAAUGCCAUAUUAUUUCAUAAUGCAUUAACAAGCUUUAAUGCCCUCAUGUUCUGUCAGCCUUUUUUUUGGUGAUAAAUAUAUAUAUUAGAAAUAAAGAAAAUAAUUUAAUUAAUUGAUUAAGAUGCUUAGAUUGUUAAAAGAUAAUGAACUCUGAACUUUUAUUUGGUAUAUUUGAGAAGAGGACUAACCUUAGAGCUAGAUUGGUGAAGAUGACAUUUCCCAUGUAAUUGUGCUGCCACUGAGAUAUUCUUUCUUUACUUGGCUUUUACUUAUUUUCUUUCCUACCCCCUCCCUUAUUUACUUAUACUGCAGCUAGAUGGAUUGCUAGGAAGUUUAAUUUAUUAUGUUGCCAAGAAUCUUAUGUACUUAUGUAUUUUGCUUGAUGCAGUUUGUUUUGGUAGACUUGCGGUGCCACGGUGACUCAGCAUCAAUCAAGAAGAGAGGUCCACAUACUGUUGCUUCAACUGCUUUAGACGUGCUAAAACUAGUGCGUGGUUCUUAAGCCUGACUGUCAGUUUUAUACUUCAAUGUGAUCCUUGAAUUUUGGUUUUGUUGAUGGGCUUGUGUGAGAGAGAACCAUAAUGAGGCAGAAUUAAUAUGUUAAUUCUGAUUAAGUUAACCAAGAUAUAUUCUUGAAAAUGCUUUAAUACAUUAACAUAUUAAUUGAACCAAGAUGUAAUGAUGAGAAUGCUUCAAUGCCUCCUGUUUCAUUCUGAAAUUAUUUGAUUUUGCUUCUUUGUAUCCAUAUUUUAAAAUAUUUAGAACAUACCUACGCCAAAUUUUGUUCCUUCUGGUAAUUUAUUGAUUUUAAUUAUAAGCAUGACACCGUUGAUUAUGGUACUUAUGAUUGAUUUUCUAGAUUGUAGCUUCCUAGGAAAGUUUGGAUUGUUCUUAUAUCACUUAAAUUCCUUUAAAGAAAAAAAGAACUUAAAGGAUGAUGACAUUUGUUAGUGAGAAAUUGAAAUAAUCCUUGUUCUCUGAUUCAAUCCCUCAAUUAUAAUUCUUUAGCUGCUUUGAUCUCAGUAGAUGUGUUCUUUCCUUCCCAAGUAAUAAAGAGUUUUAUAAGCUAAUCUAAUAAACUAGGUCCUUGAUAUUCAAGUCUUUCAUUUAAAAGUAGUUUUCCAUUUCUCUGUAUCUGAAAAGAACCUGAAAUGUGAGAAAAAAAUUUAUACAUUAAGACUUAGUAUUCUUUUUAUUAACAAUUUUCUGGAUUUUUGCUGGAAUAGAUUGCACAACUUAGAAUAACACCCCGUGUCCUAAUUGGCCAUAGUUUUGGAGGAAAAGGUACUUUUUACUCUUUAGAUUGGUUCAUAAACUAAAUUCUGGUGAUAUAUGAUAUAAAUAUAAUUAGUUGAAGAGAUAAUAGUUUUUGUAUGCUUUCUAUUUGUUUUUCAGUUGUCCUGAGCAUGGUCGAACAAGCAGCAAAGCCACUUCCACGACCAGUUAGAGUAAGUUCUUUUCUUUCCCUUAGAAAAAUUCAAAUUGGUUCUUAGUCUUUUAGAUGCACUUGUUGAGUGUGAUGCACUGGUUGAGUGCUAAUCACAUCUCUUAAGGUGGAUAUAUCUAAUCUGGGGAGGUUUAAGGAACCCAAAUUUAUACAAGAGCCCAGGUAUUUGCAACUUGUUCGAUAUAGAUAUGGAAAAAAGAUCAUGUAGUUCUAUAAUCAAUCAUAGACUUGAAAUACAUACAUACAUAUAUAUAUCAAUUGGUUCUUUAUUUUCUUGUCUCCAAAGUCCAAUUACUUUUCCUUAUAAUUUGUCUUUGUGAAAAACAGGAUAUUUUCUAUUAUAUUUUCCACAAGAGAUUACAUACAUAUUUAUACACAUAGUUAGCCUAACUAAGAUAACUUUACGCUAGGAAACAGAAUAAUUGUAGGGAUACUGUACAGCCUUAAAGUUAAGGAUAGAAUAUUUUUAGAAUCAUAUUUGAUAUACUCAAAUAUUCUGAAAUCUGACACUCCCCCUCAAGCUGGGAAGUGGAUAUCAUCCAUUCUCAGCUUGCUUACUAAUUUCUGAAACAACUUUCCAGACAAUCCUUUGGUAAGUAUAUCUGCUAGUUGUUCAUCAGUGGCCACAAAUGGAGUGCAAAUUAAACCACUGUCCAGUUUUUCCUUUAUGGAAUGUCUGUCCACCUCAACGUGCUUUGUUCGAUCAUGUUGAAUUGGAUUAUGUGCGAUAUUGAUAGCAGACUUAUUAUCGCAAUACAACUUCAUUGGACCUUCCCACUUGAUCUUUAAGUCUUACAAUAUAAUCUUUAGCCAUAACAACUCACAAACUCCAAGAGCCAUUGCCCUAAAUUCAGCUUCUCCACUAGAUCUAGCCACAACGUUUUGUUUUUUACUCCUCCAAGUUACAAGGUUGCCUCUUAGGAAAGUGCAAUAACCAGAGGUUGAUCUUCUAUCAACCAUAGAUCCUGCAUAAUCUGCAUCGGUAUAGGCUUGAAGGGUUAAAUUUUCUCCUUUUUUAAAUAAGAUUCCUUUGCCUGGCGUGCCUUUUAAGUACUGUAGAAUCUGAUAUAUAGCACUAAGAUGUGAUUCUUUAGGAUUGUGCAUAAACUGACUUACAACACCUACUGUAUAGGCAAUAUCUGGUCUGGUAUGGGACAAGUAAAUAAGCUUCCCCACAAGUUUUUGAUAUGACCUUCUAUCAACUGCUGUAUCUUCUAAUACAUCUCCGAGUCUGUGGUUCACCUCUAUGGGUGUCUCUGCUGGUUUACAACCCAACUUGCCUGUUUCUGUCAACAAAUCAACUAUGUAUUUUUGCUGAGAUAUGAAUAUUCCUUCCCGAGAGUGUGCCACUUCAAUACCAAGGAAAUAUUUUAACUUACCUAGCUCUUUGACUUCGAAUUCUUUUACUAGGCAUUUUUUUAACUUCACCAUUCCUUCUAGAUCAUCACCAGUCACAAUAAUAUCAUCAACAUAGACUAAUAAAGCAGUCACUCCCCCUGAAGAUGAAUGUUUUACGAACAGAGUAUGAUCUCCUUGACUUUGUUUAUACCCCAACUUGAGCAUCACUUUGGUAAAUCUUCCAAACCAAGCCCUCGGGGACUAUUUUAGUCCAUAUAAAGCCUUUUUUAGUCUGCAAACUGCCUGUCCUGUAUUUGGACCGAAUCUUGGGGGAACAUCCAUAUAGACUUCCUCUUCAAGGUCACCUUGUAAAAAGGCAUUUUUGAUGUCAAAUUGCUGUAAUUUCCAACCUCGGUUGGCAGCUAGUGACAACAACACUCUUACAGUGUUCAUCUUUGCAACAGGGGCAAAUGUCUCAAGAUAGUCUAUCCCAUACAUUUGAGUGUACCCUUUAGCAACCAACCUUGCUUUGUACCUCUCCAAAGAACCAUCUGACUUAUAUUUCACUGUGUACACCCAGCGACAUCCCAUCGGUUUCUUUCCUUCCGGUAAUUUCACUAAGUCCCAUGUCUUAUUUUUUUCAAAAGCUUCUAUUUCAACCUUCAUGACAUUUCUCCAAUUCUCAUCUUCUAAUGUCUCAAAUACAGUUUUAGGAAUGAAAAUAGAAUUUAGGCUAGUAAGAAAGGCUUUGUGGUUAUGGGACAAGUUUUUGUAAGACAUUAAUAGGUGCAAGGGAUGUUUUGUACAAGCUCUACUCCCCUUUCUAAUAGCAAUGGGAAAAUCAUCUAAAUCUGUAGUAUUAGAAUUCAAAGUAGGUUCAGCAGUUAUCUCAGGUCGUAUAGGAGAAGAAGAAGAUUGAACUUGCACUGGUGCCUUCUUCCUUGAGUAAACCAAUAACGGACGAGUAGUGUCCUGAAUUCCUCUUGGUGAUUUGGGUGUACUAGGCUCAGUUUCAGGUUGUAUAGGGGUCAUUUUUUCAAGUUGGGUAGGUUGGGUAGCAGGCAAGGUCUGAGUGAGAGUGUUUGAUUGCUGGACAGGUGCCGGAAUGGGAGUGUUUAGAGCUAGAAUGAGAGUGUUUGGCUGCUGGACAGGAGUUGGAAUGUCAAGAAGAAAUAAUUCUUUGUCUUUAUCUUCUGUGAAAAAGAUCUCUCCUUGAAGAUAAGGACGAGUGAAGAAAUUUUCUUGUUCAGCAAAAGUAACAUCAGCUGUUAUAAAAAAAUUUUUUGUGGCUGGAUGAUAGCACUUGUACCCUUUUUGAGUGGAAGAAUAUCCAAGAAAGACACACUUGACAGCCCGUGGAUCAAAAUUCCUUCUAUUUUGAGAAUGAACAUGGACAAAGGCGACAUAGCCAAAUACUUUGGGAGUAAGAUUACUGGAGGUAUUGAAAUCAGGAAAAAAAUUGGCUAGAACUUGCAUAGGACUUUGAGAUUCAAGGACCUUUGUAGGCAAUCUAUUUAACAAAUGAGUAGCAGUUAGAACAGCCUCCCCCCAGUAUUGUUUAGGGACGUUUUUUUGGAACAAUAGGGCUCUUGUAAUGGCUAAAAUGUGACCAUUCUUUCUUUCAGCCACACCAUUUUGUUGGGGUGUACUAACACAAGAUGACUCAUGUAUAAUGCCUCUUUUUUGAAAAUAUGUUGAGAGGAAUUGAUUGAAAUAAUCUUUGACAUUGUCUGACCUAAACCUUUUUAUUUCGGCCCCAAAUUGUGUUUUGAUCAUGUUGUAAAAAAUUGGAAAGAUAGACCUAACAUCAGAUUUUUGUUUUAAAAGAAAAAUCCAAGACACACGAGUACAAUCAUCAAUAAAGGAUACAAACCACCGAGCUCCAGAAAUAUUUGAAAUAGUGGAUGACCCCCAAACAUCACUAUGAACAAGAGUAAAAGGAGUGGAUGUUCUUUUAUUGCUUACUGAAAAAGAGGUACGUUUAUGUUUUGCAAGUUCACAGAUAUCACAAUGAAAUUUUUGAACAGUUAAUCCUUUGAAUAGUGAAGGAAACAUAAUUUUAAGGAUUCUAAACGAUGGGUGACCAAGGCGAAGGUGAUAGAGCCAAAUUUGGUCUUUAUUGGUGUUAAUAGACUCGGAUAUGAGAGAUAAAGGUGAGGAAUUCAGAACACUAACUUCUUCACUGGAUUCUUCAAGAUAGUAUAGGCCAUUUAUUUCCUUAGCAUGUCCAAUCAUCCUCGUAUUCUGUUCCUGAAAAAGACACCGAUUGUGAUAGAAAACCACUUUACAGUUAGUCUUUGGUAAUUUUUUUAAUGGAUAAAAGAUUGGUAAAUAAUUUUGGAACAUGAAGAACAUUUUUAAGAGUAAGGUUUUUGUUUAUAACCAUAUCACCUUGACCGGCCACUGUGAUCACACAACCAUCAGCUACUGUUAUUUUUCUACUACUAGAACAAGGUGUAUAUGAAACAAAUUUUUGUGAGGAGUGAGUCAUGUGGUCUGUAGCUCCUGAGUCAAUGACCCAAGAACUUUUGGUAUCUGUAUUUGAGACUUUAGAACUUUGAGGAGAGGAUAUACCUGAAAAGGCCAAACUACAAGUACCUGUUGAAGAAGUUUUUUCCAAUGAUCCCAGCAAAUUUUUUAACUUCUCAAUUUCUUCUUUAUUGAAUUCAAUAGGUAAUUCCUGAGAAUUGUUUUUUUUUAUCUAGCUGUCUAGCUGUAUUUGCUCGUCCUUGUCCCUUUGAUUGUCCACCUUUUUUUGAAAAAUUUUUGUUUCUUGUCUGUCUUCCCAUGGAGUUUCCAGCAUCUGUCUUUAGUGUGACGAGCCUUUUUGCAGUAGGUGCACCAUACGGAAUCCUUGUUAAAAGACUUUGUAUGUUCUAUCUGUCUAUUAUCUUCACUAGUUGGCUGCUCCAGGCCAAAUCUCCUCUCAUUUACAGCAUUAGUAACCAAGGCUGAACUAUCCACUUGAUUGUUCUCCACCAUAACUCCUCUUCUUCCUUCCUCAGCACGAACAAUUGCAAUUGUUUUAUUUAGUGAUGGUAGUUCCUCUUUUCCAAGUAUUUGAACUCUUACUGCAUCAAACUCAACAUUCAGUCUAGCAAGAAAAUCAUAAAUUCGAUCUUUUUCAAAAACCUUUUCAGGAGUGCUGCAUCUUCACUGCACUUCAUCUGAAUGCACUGGUAAUGAUCCAUCUCUAGCCACAAACUUUGCAACAAAUUGGAAUACUCCGUGAUUGAUCGACUUCCUUGCUUGGUGGAUGAAAUCUUAGUCUUGAUUUCAUAGAUUUGAGCAGCAUCUCGAACUUUAGAAUAAGUCCUGCUUCACAGCUUCCCAUAUUUCUUUGGAUGUGUUAAGAAACAUGCAUGUAUCACUGAUUUCUGGCAUCAUAGAGUUCCAUACCCAAGACAUUACCAUAGAGUCUUGUUCAUCCCAAGCAUCAAACUUAGGGUCCCCUUCUUUAGGUCCAGUUCCGAGUAAGUGACUCAGCUUUCCUCUUCCUUUCAAGAAGGUACGAACCAGUUGGGACCAUUUCAGAUAAUUUUUUCCAUUUAGCCUGUAGGCUACUUGGAUAUUCUGAAACUCACUCAUUGGAUUUGAGUUUACAGAAAUUUCUAAGCCCUCCCCAGUGUUACUGGUCUUGACAGUUUCAGUUAUGUUGUGUUUGAACAAGUUCUAUAGACUUGAAGACUGGUUGGGAGUAAAAAAAAAAAACAGGCUAAAGAAACCGGCUAAAAAAUCCUAGAAAUCGGGCUAAAUAACAGGCUCUGAUACCAUGUGAAAAACAGGAUAUUUUCUAUUAUAUUUUCCACAAGAGAUUACAUACAUACUUAUACACAUAGUUAGCCUAACUAAGGUAACUUUACGCUAGGAAACAGAAUAAUUGUAGGGAUAUUGUACAGCCUUAAAGUUAGGGAUAGAAUAUUUUUAGAAUCAUAUUUGAUAUACUCAAAUAUUCUGAAAUCUGACAGUCUUUUACGGUUUGCUUUAUAAAUUCUAUAGGCUUGGGUUCUGGAUGCCACUCCUGGAAAAGUUCGAGCUGGCCAGGAUGGCGAGGACCAUCCAAGGAAGCUAAUAUCUUUCUUAAGAAAAUUGCCUAAAGAGGUGAAUUAUUGUGUCACUUUGUGGAUCUAUUUUCUCAUUUGAUAUAUGAACUGUGCUAUUGAGACCAUUGUCCCUUGUGUGAUCUUUGAUGAGAUGGAUUUGAACUUCCUUAAUUCAAUUAUUUGCAUCCUUGUAGAUUUCUUGGGCCUUGCUAUUGCUUCAUUGGAACCCAACCAGUCUAUAUAUUGGUUAUUUUGAUGUUUUCUUUGAUCUUUACAGUUUUUGUGUAUGGUUUAAGAGGUAAUGUGAGUAGUACGUUAUCUUUAAAGAGUUUAAAUGGCUAGGAUUAAAUUGGGUUUAUGUGUAUCCAAGGGUUAGCAACAUAAGCUACUGUAACUCUAGUAUACAUAGUCUUCCAAACGCACUGGGAAGCCAUAUUGUAGUUGAAUAUUAUUUGCUAAUAGGUUGGACAACCUACAGUACUUGAGCCUCUAUUAUGAUUUUUUAUGGUUUUUUCUUAAUUAUUUCCCUUUGUUGAAGCUAGGUGUCGUUAUAUGAUCUCAUCAUGCAGAUAUUGUUUGUAAAACCUCUUCAGAUAGAAUUGUUUCUGUUUCUUUUUUCAUCCCUAAUCUUAGAUUUAAAUUUUCUAUUUACUGGUUCAUUUGUACCUGGAUAUAGUUACCAUCUUUUUCUGAAAUAAUUAAACUAAUCCAUAUAUCAUUUUCUUGUAUUUUCAAUUUGUUAUUUUGCAUUUCCUGCAUGCCAUCUUCAGAAAAAGAGAAAUACUUUCUUGUUCUUUUCCUUCUCUUGUAUGUAGCUCUAAACUUGCAACAAUUUUAUUUGAGGCAGGUUUCUUCAAAGAGGGACAUUGUGAAUGCUCUAAUUCAGGAAGGGUUCUCAAAGGAUGUUGCGCAGGUAUUUUUUUUCCACAAUCACCAAGUGUGGGGCUCCUUUGGAGUAUUACUUCAUUUCAUACUCAUAUUAACCUUUAUAGUUUUUAUAUGUAGUGGGCCUAUUAUUUAUGUUUGGUGUCUAGUCACCAUCAACGGCUAUUAUAUGAUUGGAGAAAUACUACAGCACUUUAUUUACAUGUUCAUUUCUUUAAUAAAUGUGUUCAAUGUAAUAUAUUGUCUCAUUCAGUGUUGUUAAGGUGCUGCGCCUCAGGCAAGGCACAUUUGAUCAGGUUCGGCAUCCGAAGUGUCAUGUUUUUAGCCUAUUUCAUAUAUGCAUAGACACAUACAAAAUACUUACUGCACCUUCACUCAAGCGAGUGUAUUUAUUUCCCUUGCACUCUAUAAGUGUUGUAGUGCUUAGAAUGUGCCUUUUGCCCUUGACAACAUUGGUUUCAGCUUAAUUUGUCGACAAAAGCGUGGAUGUAGUUCCCUACUUUGCUAAGUAACUAAAAUUUGCUCUUUUUUUUUUUCUUUGUAAUCAACAAAAUUUCACCUUUAUUUAGAUCGUCUUAAAUAAAGCACAUCAAUUUGGGCAAUCUACUUGACCAUCAUGGAUGUGCUAUAUGAUCUAAAAAUACUUGACCAUCAUGGAUGUGCUAUAUGAUCUAAAAAUCAAGUAUAUAGUUGAUUUUCUUGAUCAUUUACAUUCUCUUUGGAGGGCGGAACAUUCUUCUUCUGCUAUUUUAGUCCAUUCAAGAUUUAUGCAAAUGCAAACAUGUCAUAGGAAAAAGAUACCCUUUAGUAGUUUAGCUUUCAUUUUUGGUUAUAAGAAAUUUUAGUUACUCUAGUUAUCCUGUUUGGCUAUACUUCGUUUAUGAACCACUUAAGCAUGUUAAAGAUAGAGGACUUGAGAAUAGUUUAAAUAAUGGCUAAAUUACUAAAUAAGCCUCUGAACCAUUUCAAAAUUUCCUAAAAAACUUAUAUCCUUGUAUAUAUUCAAAUACACCUGUUUCUCUGAUUUUGACCCAUAAACAUGGUACUCGGUACCAUACUGGUACCAAGUAGUUUGGGUUCCGUUUCUGUUGAGAUUUUGACCCGUUUCAGUAAAUGCCAACUUUUAGUGUGUACUGGCCCAUACUGAUUGGUACAAAAUUUUUAUAUUUUAAACUUUUAUUUUUUUUCUAUAAUUACAUUUAAAAUUAAACUAUAAUUAUUAAAUUAAGUUAUUGAACCUAAUUAACAAUUUUAAAACUUAUAUUUGCAUAUUAUAAAUAUAUUUAUAUGGAUGUAAUUGAAAUAUAUUUGCAUGUAUAUAUAAUAUAUAAUUUAUUAAAAAACUAAAAUUUAGACUAUAAAUGAUACAGAAUUGGCCCUAACCUGCUUGAACUCUGGACAACCCAACUUGAGAACAACCCGCACAGGAAACAAUCAAACUUGAUGUGACUUGAACCCAAGAUAAACUAGCCCAAAUUGUCUAUUUGCCACCUCUGCUAAGCACUACCAAAAAAUAAAAUAAGUCACAUGCACACACAUACACAACCUUCUAUGAUACAAGAUUUUUGGCAAUCUUAUAGAAAACAGCUUGAUCUUGUCUCAGGGUUAACAGUGUAAGAUGCUAACAUAGAUGGAAGUAGGAGUAGCUUUCAGAACCUCCUACCUUUUGAAUAUUGAUGACAUAAAGCUAAUGUAUCUGGAUGCCUGUCAAUAUAGUUAAAUCUGUUACCUAUAGAUUCUCUUCUUGAAGACUUAAUACAAUAUGUUCAUUCAAUGUGCAGCAUUACAAUUGGAGGUACUUUUAUAUCUUUGUGCCCUAUUCUAUGAGAUCCUCGAAACUAGCAUUUGCCAUUAUCCUGUAAAGUCUGUUAAGCAUUUGCUUGUUAGUAGGCAGGGCGCAUGAAUUUGUAUGUAAUGACCUUUCAAAAAAAAGAAAAAAAAAAGGAAAAAAAUGUCUUUCAUGGCCGUUUCAUUGAUUGAAGUUGCACCCUGUUCAGGAUUGAAAUGAUAUUGUCUUGCUGCUAGUGCUUCUUCUGUGAUUUAACUGUUAUGUAUAAGCCAGAUACCCUGCAUAAAAUAUGUGAUCUUCUUGAAUUGUUUACACCAUUCUUUCUGUUUACUGAUUUAUCAUUCUAUCUCCAGUGCAUCUUUUGGUAAGGAAGCCCUGAGCUGCGAGCUGUGACUUUCAAUCAGUUAUCAGUACUUUUAGAUAUUGCCAUAUUUAGUUUUUGAGAUGAUUUAAUGACCAUAAAAAAGUAAUAAAAAAAGGGAAGGAACAGCAUUUUAUCUUUGAUUUGACUUCAUUGUCAUGUUUCUCAGAUAAAGUCAUAUUUUUGUUGCCCCCAAUUUUUUCCUAGUUUUCACUCUUCCCAUGUGUAUUAAGUAAUCUUUGACGACGUUGUUAUUAAACAAAUUUGCGGGUUGUCUACAAUUCUACCAAAAGAAAUAUAUGUUUAACUUCUUGAAAUGCUUACAUCAUUCUUACUUUAAAUUCGUGCAUCUAUGUCUUGUUAUCGUGUUAAAAGUAUUUUAUAUUUAUGUAAAAUUUAACAUGGUAAUAAUUUGUAUUACAUAUGUUUUAUGCAUUCGUGUAUUCAUGUCCCGUUUGUGUUUCUUUUCCAUGUUAUGUCUUGUUUCUUGUAUAUUUAGCUAUUUUUUGCAUGCAUGUUUAUUCGGCUCGUAUUGUAUCCAAUAUUGCCAGCUCUACUUACUACAUACAUAUUUUUCAUUGUAUAUCCAGCACAUGAUUUGGUAAUGAAGCUUAUAAGCUGUCACUUCAAUUGGCUAUCUGUAUAAUUUUUGUUUCUCAGUUCUUUUAGAUACCGUCGGGUGUAUUUUUGUGUUGGUUAUAGAAGAAAAAAAAAUAAAGAGCAGAAGAAUACCAUCUUCAUCUUUGAUUUUGACUUUAUUUGUCAUGUUUCUUGGAUUAAAUCAUAUUUCUUUUUCUCAAAUUUUGCCUGGUUUUAUUAAUUCAGUGGGUUGUCACUAAUCUUCGACCAACUGGUGCUGCUAGUUCUUCAUCAUCAAGUUUCUCGUGGGUGUUUGACCUUGAAGGGAUUUCAGAAAUGUACGAGUCCUAUGAAGAAACAAAUUUAUGGUAAUCUUAUCUGGAUUAAGCUAUAGGGUGUGGUUUGGAUUUUAUUUUACUUGUCCAUAUUCAGACUGAAUGUUGGUGUCUGUUAUGUUACUUUUAUAUGUUAAAUAUUUCAAAUGAUAAACAUAAAAAUAAGAAGUAAAAUUUGUUCUCAUUUUGAAAAGAGCUUUCAACUGUUUAUUCUAAGUUUCUUUUGGCUGCAUAAUUACAGGAAAGUGGUGGAAAAUCUACCUCGUGGUGUGCAUGUUAAUUUUUUGAAAGCAGAAAGGAGUUUGCAUCGAUGGGCCCUUGAAGAUCUUCAACGAAUUCAUGCUGCUGAAGAGUCUGCUGCUGAUGAGGGCGGUGGUGUAGAGAUGCAUGUCCUUGAAGAUGCUGGACACUGGGUACAUCUAUUGCUCUGUGCAUGCUUUAAUUACUUUAUGUUUUCUCCUUUGCACAUAACAUAUGCCUGGAUUUACACCCAUUUCUUAUCGUGUUGCAUCUUUGGUGUUUGAAUGAUGUUGAUGUAGAACCUACGAUGUAAGAAGUAUUACUGAGUUUCAUGCUCAAAAAAGUGUGUUAACCCAAUAAAUGUCACAGCUUUUCAAGAAGAAGGUUAUACUAUCCCACUAUGAUGUCUAAUUUUGACAGUGUUCUAAAAAUCACUCUCGUCAAGAGAUAAAAGGGAUGUCCAGGCUGCUUGAAAGUAUGCAACCUAUAUAGAAAAAACUUGUGUAACCUGUGAAAAAGAGAAAAACAAAAAAUGUGCAACUUUUCUGCUCUAGAGCUCUCGUUUUCCAGUUAGCACAUUAGAACAUUUGGAAGUCUGGUUAGCUGCAUUUUUACAUAGCAAGAACAUACGUAAAGCAUCUAGCCAGAACCAUGUUCGUUGGACAUGAUUACAAGUGUUGGAUAUGGGUAGAUGUCUAACAGAGGUAUAUCUUUUUCAUGGAUUUGGAGGGUCAAAUCCCUAUAAUCAUGGGUUGACUUGGUUGCAUAUUUGCUGAAUAGUUCUGGUAGUUGCUAGUUGUAUCAUUUGUAAUUUUAGGUUUGAUGCAGAGCUAUUUUCCUUAGUGCGAGAUUUUUAGUAAUGUUGAACUUGCUUUAUUUUCUUAAUAGGUACAUGCAGAUAACCCAGAUGGACUCUUCAGGAUUCUUUCAUUUUCUUUCAAGGGAGUUAAAGCUUAAAGGUGUUGUAUGUUUUCAAAUUUUGAUCUGUUAAGACUCUUUUUUGGGUUAAAGUACACGUCCAACACAUUUAAAUAUGAAUAGGAGGGUAUGAUCCUGAAAAGAGUGAGCUGGAUACAUACUUGUAUCCUACAAUCAUUCCCGAGUACAGGUAACUUAAGCUUUGAGUUGCAUGAAAUCAACCUUAGCCAUUUAUCUUAGCUCAAUAUUGUAACUUUAUUCAUAUGAUUACCAAUCUUCUAGUCAUUAAAUCAUUACUGUACUGUACCAUGGUAACUAAUAACUUACAUAGUUGUUUUACAUUUCUUUUUUGUUUACUUCAAAUUGCCUUUGUUCAAAUAUGAAUUGGAGUGAUAAAUGACUUGUUUGUACAAGUUUUAUCCUUUUAUAAUUUAUUUAUAAAAAGAACGAUGCUAGUUAGAAAGUGAUUUUUUUUGGGUAUAAAGUUGUUUUUUUUUUUUAAAUACAGCUGUAGUAAUUAAGUUAUAUUGUAUCAUUAACCAAGUGAUGCAAUUAACAUUAGUAUUAUCAAAUCAUUGCUACAGACAGUAAUGGUUGAAUGGUUGCAGAUUGACUAACGCGUUUCAAUUAGUUAAUUUUGAAUUUUAAAUCCAAGCUUUUGUACUCUGUGCAGUUGAAAUUUAAUCUUCUACUUAUAUUAUAUUUUCAGGUCUAAUUAUUAAUAAUGUUAAAUUUAUUUUGUAAAAUUUGAUGGUGUGGUAUUUUGAAAUAAACAAAUAUUCACUUGAAUUAUUUAAUAUAAUGGAGAAUUUUAAUUGUAUCAAUAGGACUUGAUUUUUAAAUGUAAAAAGUAGAGAGACAAUAUAAAUACUAUUUUAACUUUUUAAAAUAGGGUUUAAGGUUUAAUGAUAAAGGCUUAAUAGUACCCCUAAGCAAUAAAAUUUAUCAAUUAAAGUUUUGUUUGUUUGUUAGUAAAAUAUUUUCUAGAAAAUAAUUUUUAAAAAAUGAUUUACUUUUUUGAUAUUUAGAUGAAUCUGUGUAAAAUAUUUUUUAUUAUUUAGCAAUUUUUUUAAAAAUAUUUCAUAAAAAUUAUUUUAAAUUAAACAAAUAUAUAUUUAAGAAUUUAUUAUAUUUUUAUUGUUUAAUUGAGUUUAUUAUAUAUAUUAAUAAAUUUAUAUUUUAAAUUAUUUUUACAUAUAUUGUAAUAAUUUAUUUAUAAAUAAAUAAAUCAAAUUAAAUAUAUAAUAAUACUCAAUUAUUAAGCUAGAAUAUUAACCGUCAUAAAUUAAAAACAACCAAAGUCAAAUAAAUUAUUUCUAAUUGUAUUAUAUAAAAAAAACAAUAAUUGAAUAAUUAUAAAUUAGUUUCUAAAUCAUAAUUAAUAUUAGAAAUUAAUAAUAUUAUCCAAAUGCAUAAUUAGUAGUAUAUCAUAUAAUAACAACAACAAUGUUCAAGUGCAUAACUAAUAUUACACCACAUUAAAAGUAUUAAUAUCUUCAACCUUAAGAAAAUUUUUAAAGUCAAAUUUUUCUAUAUUUGUUACUUUUUUAGCAUAACUCACUAGAUAAUCAAACACAGAAUACAAAAAAUCAUCAUCAAAUCAUUCUACCUCCAUCAACAUCACUUUUUCGUAAAGAUGUGUUUUAUCCGUAGUAAAUUGUUCCAAAACAUUAGCAAUUUUGCCAAACUGUUCACCCACAAAUUUAAUUUAUUCAUCAAUAACACUUUUUUGAGCAUUUUUUCUUUUACGUUUAGAUGUACUAGAUGAAGAUACUUUUUUUCUUACCUCUUUAGUCUCUUCAUUCUUGCAAUUUAUAAACACUGAAUUUUAGUUACCAUCAUUCAAAUUUAUGUCAACAAAUGUUCUAACAAAACUCUCUGUUGUCAUAUCUUUACCAACAACUAAAACCAUUUCAUCAUAAUGAGCAAUGCUUUUAUUCAAAAAUAGUUCAUACUUCUUAUGUGCCUGUUUAAUAUUAUACACAAUUAGAAUAACAAGUAAAACACAAUUGAAAUAUACUUAACAUAUAUAUAUUACCAUCACUGUUGAAUCAUAUGUCGCUCUAUCACAUGUGAUCAUUUUCAUAUUAUCAUCCCAUCCAAAUCCACUUUCACCUUAAAUUGUGCAUAUAAUCUGUCACUGAUUUUUUACAGUCCUCAAAUAAUUUUCUACAUGUUUCGCAUCGCAUUGGACUUGAAACCUUUCAGAAAUAGCUUCGGCAACUCGACUAAUAGAAACUGCUUUGAAAGUGUUUUAGAAAGCUUAUUUACUUUCUAAGCCUUCUUUGCUAGAAUUUCAAGAAAAAAAUGUUCUAUCAAUUUUGUCCACCUGAAUUGCUUGAAGGUCACUUCUUUGUUACCCUUACCCAUUCUACAUGAAUAAUUGACAUUGUCAAUCAUUUAAUAUCCAACAAGCUUAAAACAUAAUAAAUUCAAUAUCUAACAAAUUCAAGAUAUAAUAAUUUCAAAAUCCAACAAACUAAAAUUUCAUUAUUAUUAAAAAAAAAUUAAUACUAAAACAUACAUAACAUAAAAUCAAUAACCCUAAGUCUUAAACCUACCUAAUAUUUCUAGCCAUAUAAUCAGUCCACAUAGUUUGUGCAAUUUCGUCUCUCUUAGUAGACCAUUCUCUUGCUCUUUUUUCUUCUCGCUCCGUAAGAGUUGGUAUUAUUAAAUCAAACUCAGGCUCCUUGUAUAAUCCUUGAUUAAGUAAAUCAUUAAGAUCAACUCCCAUUAUAUGAUUAUGAAUAAUACAAGCCAAAACUAUAUCUACUUGAGUUUGAAAAUUCCAUAAUGGUUUAGUAUCUGAUACACGAAACCGUUUCUUCAAAAUCCCCAAAACACAUUCAAUAAUGACUCGCAAUGAUGAAUGACGAAAAUUAAAGAAUUCCUUUGCAUUUUCAAGCCCCGAGCACUAAACCCUUUUAAAUGAUAUCGGACACCACAAUAUGGGGAAAUAUAUUCAUUUCAGAUGUCAUAUCCAGCAUCAGCAAGAUAAUAUUUACCUACAAUUUUACAAAACAUUAUUAUUACUAAUAAAUUAUGAGCUUACUAGAGCUAUUUGGUAUUUAAUGUUAAUUCUUAACUUCCGAAAUUCUUAAAUCUCUUAGGCGUGAAAGUGCAUUACUUAAAAUACAAGAAUCAUGUGCAUUACUUUUCCAACUAGCUAGAAUAUAGAAAAAUUUCAAAUUAAAUUUAAUAGCAGCCAAUACAUUGUGUCGUCUCCCCUUUAUGGCUACGAAAUCUUCCUUGAAUGCUAACUAAAACGGAUACACGUACAUGAGUUUCAUCUAAUACUUCAAUACAAUCUUUAGAAUAAGAAUAAAACCUUGGAUUGUUUCUGAUUUCACUAGGAGCUGACUCAUCAGGUAAUCUAAUAACUAGUUUAUACAAUUUCAAAAUAACUCUCAAUACAACCCUAAAGUAACGGUGAAUUGUCUCAAUUGAUCUAUAAUAUCUAGAUCUAAUCACUCGAAACCUUACAUUAUGACCAAUUAUAUGUAAAAAUAUAACUACUUGCUCCCUAAUAUUCACCGAUUUAGUUGAUUGUAACAAAUUAUUCCUACUAAGAAUAUCACACAACUUAAAAAAAAAGGCAAUUGGUCUCAUCCUUAUCACAUCAAUACAAUGCUGGUCACUACUACAUAAAAUACUAUUAAUAUAAUUUUCUCUUUCAUAAUCUCGAUUCACACGAGGGUGACAAGCAAUUUCCUUCCUAGUUUUUAAUUUUUUAAUCUAAAAAAUCCCAAAAACUAAAACUAAAGUCAUGACUCCAAUAAUUGCAUUUUAAUCUUGAUUACGAUCCAUCUACACAAAAUAAUAUUUGAUCAUUACAAAAAAGAUGCAAACUUUUCAUACGAUCACAUAUAUGACUAAAGUUAAUUAAAAUGCAGACAUACAUAGAUAAGGAAACUAAUGAAUCAAUUACAGCACUGAUCCGAACAAACAAUGAAACAAGAGAAGAAUCUUCAAGUUUCCUUAUUCUUUUCUAAGAAUAUAUAUUGGACAGCUGCUUAGAUUAAAGUAAACAACCAUGAUUCACAGACUUGUUUUUAUUUUGCAAUGCUUACCUCAAAGAUUCCACUAUUAAUUGUAUAAUAAUUUUAAGAUAAUGAUUAAAAGUGUCCACAUGCUGGUGGCAUGAUUUUGCUAAAAGUCAUUUUUGCUUAACUUCCAAUUGAACUUCAUUUAUUAAAUUAUUAAUUAGUUGGAAUCAAAUUUUAAUUCUAUAAAUAAUUUUUUAAAUAAUUAUUAAUUUGUAUAAAAAGAUAAUUAAUAUUAUAUUUAGAGCAUAAAAAUGGGGGUCAAAUAUCAAAAUGACGGAUUUACCCAUUACUUUAACAUUUUCUGCGUGACUUAAGUAACAUAGAUCAUGUACUUGCUUAUUAUUUCUCCCUGAGGAUUACCUUUAAAAUCAUAAGCAAACAAGCUAGAAAUUUCCAGUACCAGGUAUAUAAACACUUGAAAACAAAGUAACCAGAGAGCAAGCUUUGUUUCUAACUUCUAAUCUUGUAUUUUAACUUGAUAGUUCCAUAUAGGAAAGGGUAAAGGACUUGCAAGGCAGUGCCAAAGCAGGCAGUUUAUGGAAAGAUACACAUAACUUGACACUUAAUAAACUAAAAUCUCUAGUUUUCAUCCAGAAUCUGUGAAAGAAAAUUUCAGAACCAAAAGCAAGACAACAACAAGUACAUUCUAAAAAGUCAUCAACAUCGCAUGAAACCAGAAAAAUAGAGAUCAGUAUAUAUAUAUAUAUAGGAACUCAUAAGACCAAAACAAUUAAACUCCAACUGAUUAAUCCUAUACGUUUCCAUUUGAGAGAAAAACAAAAUUCUAUCUUUAUUAUCCCUGUAGAAGAAAUUUCCAACAUUAACACAACUCGCCUGUUUCCUUAUCUAAGCCAUUGUUUUUUAAUCAAACACAACAAGAAACAGCGAGUGAAGGCCUUUUGUCCAAUGAAAUCAAGAUUAUAAAUUAUACAACAACAAGAAACAAAAGUUAAAUGAUGACCAUGUAGAUUAGUACUUUAACCAUGGAUCCAUGUAGAUUAAAGAAGGCGAAGUGAAGGGGCAGUUUAGAAACAAAAAUAAUCAACAAAUCAACGCUCAAGAGGAUUAUACAGGAAAAAUAGUAGUUGAUCAAGAAAACUUGUUCACGGUCCAGUUAAUAAAGUUUCAAUUCCAACAGUUAUCAUUGUUAAGCAAGAACUAUUGUUUUCAUGUAUGACUUUCUAUUGAUUUUUCUAAUAUUUCAAGCGGACAAACAUUAAAUGAGUGAGGUGAGAAGGGAAGGGAAGAGAAGUUCAUGAUGACUAUUCAUAAAUAGGGUUCAGAUAGGGCUUUGCUCCUUUCUCUCCGUGUCUCAGCUCAAUCAAAUGCAUGCGAAACCAUUACAACCAAAUUAAGCCAAAUACAUAAAAGGCAAAUUGAAGAAACCUUAACAAUAAAGCAAAAAGGCAUAAAAGGCAAACAUUUAAAGUUUCAAAAGCCUUACGUGUUACUAAGAGCCAGCUCCUUUACCCAAAACUCGGCAUGUUUAACCAGCUGCAGGACCAACAAAAUUUUUUUAUUAACAUUAAAUGAACCACCAAUAUGGCAAUAUAUCAUAACUCCAAGACUGAAAGAAGGGUAGGUAAAUGUAAAUUUACUCAAUCAAAACAAUUAUAGAGUAAUGCAUGAAAGCUAAUUCAAUUUUGCUAAUCAUUUUUAUUAAAUUGUUAUUCAUAAAAUUUUUUAUUGCUUGCCAGAUACAUAGCACAAUUCUAUUAAAUUGGCCGUAAAAUAAGUUGGAACAAUUUUGAGGCCGUAAAAUAACUUGAAAAUGGGUCUUUAGAUGGAGAAACAAGAUAUAUAAAACAACAAGCUAUGUCCACUGUAAAAAAAAAAGAUAUAUAAGACUUGAAAUUGUGGAUCAGUUUCAGUUUCAUAUAUAAGGUUGCAUAGAAACAAGGUGUAAUUGAUGACUUAAUAAUCUGGUAACUCCAAAUCUAUGUCCUCUGUAAUCGGUGAAAUUCAUCUUUGUUUAGUUACUUUUCAGCUAUUUGUUUGGGCAUAAAUUGCUUAACCCACAUUUAAAUGAAGCUAGAAGCUGGAGUUGAUAUGCUGAUAAUGUCUCAUAUAGUUUGGCUUGGUGUGUAUUUUUAAAGAGCAUAGAAAAUGAUACUGUAAGAUUUAGGAAAAAUUAAAGAAGCUCAUAGAAAAAGGAAAAUUGAAAAAGUUCUACUUUUUUCAGAAAACUUCUCUACGCAGAUGGAGCGUUUGGAUUUUUCUAGGCUUAAAUGUUCUAACUUGGAUAGUUCUGCUAUAGUUUUUUUGUUUCAUUUACACGUGAUUUGUGAAAGUAUAAAAUGACUCAUUAAUGCAUGGUCAGCUUAGAAAAUUGUCAAACAUUUUAAUAAAGCAUAGUUUUGCUAUACUUCCUCUGGAUCGAAAAAAAAAAAGACAAGAAAAAAGAAAGGUAAGGCAGAAUAGAAGAGGGGAGAGGGAGGGAAGGAGGUCUCUGCUACCCAGCACAUGCGUCCAGCCCAAGGGGAAAAGGGAGAAACUUUAAACACAAGACAAACAGAUUUUAAUAAAGCAUAAAAAAAGCUGAAUGAUGCAAAACCCAGAAACAAACAGAGCAUAAAAAAAAAGGAGAAGAAGAUUCUUCAAUAGACAGAUGAAAUACAGAAAAUAAAAAACCAUAAAAAACUUACCUUGAUUGAGAUUCAAGAAGGGAACUGGAUGAAAAGAAGGAAGAUGAAGAACAGAAGAAAGGAGAAAGAAUACGGUGAGAGUGGACAAAGAUUUUUCAGAAAAUAUCUUACAGAAAUAAAAUUAUUUUCCCUAAAACCCAUCUCAUUUAUUUUGUUUUGGAAAAUACUUCCCCGUAAAAUAAAGGAACCCUAA